rnacentral:lncRNA from 1 species
UAGAGAUAUGGUCUUACCAGGAAGAGAUCUGCCUAGCCCUGACUGUUGAAUGCUGAGAUUGUAAUCCUGGGCCACCAUGUCCAGAUAGAGUACACCUUUAGGGGGCUAGAGAGAUGGCUCCUUGGCAGAUUUUCAAGCUCUGUGUAGUCCUGGCUGUCCUGGAACUCGCUCUGUAGAUCAAGGUGGCCUCGAACUCACAAAGAUAGGGUCUCCCGAUGUCCCUUGGCAGGCCUGGAGCUCACUAUUCACUAUGUACAACCCAGCUUUUGCCAGAACCAGUCGCCGACUGUGUGGACUUCACAGUUUCAAGAAUGACCUUGAAGUAAAGGGAAGGUGGAUAGAUAAACCAUCCAAAGUCCCGUGGGGCACCUCAGCAGAGAUCCGGAGCCCAGUAGCCGUUCUGUCACAUUUAGCUUGGAAUUUCUUUUUUUUUUCUCCUGGUGAUAAUUUAUUAUCUGUUAGUAGCACACAGGCCAAACAUUAAUCAUUCAAAACAAUCUCUAUAGAAGUGGGGAAUGAUACGGGCCACUCUGAGAGACUGACUGUGUGCAUUUAAUGGUCAUUACUCUUUAGGUUUUUAAUCUUCUUCUUAUGCCGUUUGAUUUGUUUCUGCAGAUGCUCUAUCUCCUUUGAAUGGCGGUCAAUCUCAUCUUCAUGGUGCUUCUUCAAGGGCAGCCAGCUGCUCUCUCGUCUUCCCUCGGAAGUACCGAUCCUCUUCAGCCUUCUCUCGUUUCCUGAAGGCCCCACCAGCUUCUCGAAUGGAGCCAGCGCCCCUGUAUCCGUGCUCUCCGACAAGUCUGAGACGAAGCCUCGGGUUUGCAGGAACCCUCAUACCCCAGACACCGAGCCGAGCCC